GAUGAACGCUGGCGGCGUGCCUAAUACAUGCAAGUAGAACGCUGAAGGAGGAGCUUGCUCUUCUGGAUGAGUUGCGAACGGGUGAGUAACGCGUAGGUAACCUGCCUGGUAGCGGGGGAUAACUAUUGGAAACGAUAGCUAAUACCGCAUGACAACAGUUAUUGCAUGAUAACUGUUUAAAAGGGGCAACUGCUCCACUACCAGAUGGACCUGCGUCGUAUUAGCUAGUUGGUGAGGUAACGGCUCACCAAGGCGACGAUACAUAGCCGACCUGAGAGGGUGAUCGGCCACACUGGGACUGAGACACGGCCCAGACUCCUACGGGAGGCAGCAGUAGGGAAUCUUCGGCAAUGGACGGAAGUCUGACCGAGCAACGCCGCGUGAGUGAAGAAGGUUUUCGGAUCGUAAAGCUCUGUUGUAAGAGAAGAACGAGUGUGAGAGUGGAAAGUUCACACUGUGACGGUAUCUUACCAGAAAGGGACGGCUAACUACGUG
rnacentral:rRNA from 1 species